UACGGAGGGUGCGAGCGUUGUCCGGAAUCACUGGGCGUAAAGGGCGCGUAGGCGGCAGGCCAAGCGUGCGGUGAAAGUCCGGGGCUCAACCCCGGAUCGGCCGUGCGGACUGGUUUGCUAGAGCACUGUAGAGGCGAGUGGAAUUCCGGGUGUAGCGGUGGAAUGCGUAGAGAUCGGGAGGAACAUCAGUGGCGAAGGCGGCCAUCUGGGACAACACUGACGCUGAAGCACGAAAGCGUGGGGAGCAAACAGG
rnacentral:rRNA from 1 species